rnacentral:rRNA from 1 species
UACGUAGGGUGCAAGCGUUAAUCGGAAUUACUGGGCGUAAAGGGCGCGUAGGCGGCCUUCUAAGUCAGACGUGAAAUCCCCCGGCUUAACCUGGGAACUGCGUCUGAUACUGGGAGGCUUGAGUAUGGGAGAGGGAUGUAGAAUUCCAGGUGUAGCGGUGAAAUGCGUAGAUAUCUGGAGGAAUACCGGUGGCGAAGGCGGCAUCCUGGACCAUAACUGACGCUGAGGCACGAAAGCUAGGGGAGCAAACGGG